rnacentral:rRNA from 1 species
AUGCCGGAGUCUUCGCCGGACAUGGGUGCUGGACCAACCACUCGCAGGCUCAGUUUGCAGUUUGGAGUUCAUGAUCAGAGAGGUGGCAUUGCGGGCGGUGGAGGCGGCGCGCCGGUGGGUAGACAGCUCGUCGGCGAGUUGGUCGGAGUUGGUGCAGAUGGGGAUUGGAGGAUUCCCUCGAUGGUCCCACUGCUUCGGGUUGAGAGCCGUGGGCCCAGGGUGCCUGUUCAAGAUAGGGAGACGACCCGUCACUCAGCUUUUGACCGGCUAGGUGACGUGGAGCGGCAGGUGGAAGACUCGGAACGACUACAGACUCAAAAUUCAAAUCUUGUUCUGGCCUCCAGCUGCGCGGUGAUGGUGGGGCAUCCAGGUGGGGCCCUUGUCGCACAUGGUGCGACGCAGCAAGUCGUGACAAUAGCCACGAUGCAGAGGGAGGAGGAGGCAGUCACUUUGGGCAUUGGGCAGGGCAGGGAUGUCGGAGGUGGGGAUGGUGGAUUGGACAAGAGUUCGAUCCCGAUAUUGGUGGGACCCAUGGAGGUCAAUCCCGAGGUCGCGCGACAGGAGCGGAUUGCUGAGCUGGCUUCGGAUGCUGAGAUGCUGGACCGACAGCUGGUGGUGGUGCAGGACAUGGCUGUGCAUGGGAUUGCGCGUGAUGCGUCUGGCCCCGACCAGUUCAUGGAGGGACAUGGGUUGGCGGUUGUGGGCCAUGAGGCGAGUACGCAUGAUUCGGUGGGGCUGGAGCGGCUCUCGACUGGUGCGCUGAUUGAGCUGCCAGGUCCCUCCUCGGAUGGCGCGCUGCAUGUUGGGAUGGCCCGGUCGCCUGAUUCUCGGCAGGUUUCAGCUAAUGUUUGCGGAUCGUAUCUUGCCAAUGAUUGCGGACCAAAUCCCGGCAAGCGAGGAGCGGGAGUUGGAACUGGGACAAGUGGCGGCCUCUCAAGGAGGCAGGGCGUUUGA